AGUGAACGCUGGCGGUAGGCCUAACACAUGCAAGUCGAACGGCAGCACAGUAAGAGCUUGCUCUUACGGGUGGCGAGUGGCGGACGGGUGAGGAAUACAUCGGAAUCUACUUUUUCGUGGGGGAUAACGUAGGGAAACUUACGCUAAUACCGCAUACGACCUACGGGUGAAAGCAGGGGAUCUUCGGUCCUUGCGCGAUUGAAUGAGCCGAUGUCGGAUUAGCUAGUUGGCGGGGUAAAGGCCCACCAAGGCGACGAUCCGUAGCUGGUCUGAGAGGAUGAUCAGCCACACUGGAACUGAGACACGGUCCAGACUCCUACGGGAGGCCGCAGUGGGGAAUAUUGGACAAUGGGCGCAAGCCUGAUCCAGCCAUACCGCGUGGGUGAAGAAGGCCUUCGGGUUGUAAAGCCCUUUUGUUGGGAAAGAAAAGCAGCAGGUUAAUACCCCGCUGUUCUGACGGUACCCAAAGAAUAAGCACCGGCUAACUUCGUG
rnacentral:rRNA from 1 species